rnacentral:rRNA from 1 species
CCCUUAGAUGUUCUGGGCCGCACACGCGCUGCACUGAAGGAGGCAGCGUGUACUCCUGGAUCGAAAGAUUUGGGUAACCCGCGAAUCUCCUUCGUGCUAGGGAUUGAGGUUUGCAAUUAUCCUUCAUGAACGAGGAAUUCCCAGUAAGUGCAAGUCAUAAGCUUGCGCUGACUACGUCCCUGCCCUUUGUACACACCGCCCGUCGCUACUACCGAUUGAAUGAUUUAGUGAGGACUUCGGACUGGGACCGAUGCGGCUUUCGGGCUGCGUCGGUAUUCUGGAAAGAUGUCCAAACUGUAUCAUUUAGAGGAAGUAAAANUCGUAACA